ensembl:snoRNA SNORA73 Small nucleolar RNA SNORA73 family
GUUCCACGACGUUGGAUAGCAAGCUUGUCCCCGGCCUCUGGCUGGAGUGGACAGCGUCCUGUAUAUUCCUACAUCUUCCCAGAGCUCUUUGGGCCGUUACUGGGGAGGUAAACCAUGCAGUGUACAUGC